UUUUCUCUCCGAUCGAGCCCUACGAGCCUGAUUUCAACUCCUUUUUCUUCUUCAGCGCCGACUGACCGACCCCAAUCCCCCCACCACAAGCCUUAUAAUCCUGAUUUCAGCCUCCUUUUUCUCACCAGUUGAGCCCUACGAUCCUGAUUUCAGCCCUCUUUUUCUCUCCGGCGCCGACCGACUGACCCCAAUCGCAUGAUUGAGCUCUACCUCUGCCCGUCGCAGGUUUGUUUCUCCUCCUCCCCCAUCUUUGGUACUUCCUUCUCCUUAGCUUUAGCUCUUGCCCUCUCCUUCUCUUCUUCUUUUGCUAUUCUAUUUUUUUCAAGAGAGAAGAAUAUAUAUUAGCUCCAAUCUAAGUAUUCGAUUCUUAUAUUAUUUUUAGCUCUUCUACACCUGUUAUUUUAUUUGUGGUCAUGUCGUCAUGAACAAUAAUAGACUGGUCUUUUGCAUGAAGUUGUAGUUGUUUACGAGAAACAAUUUGGCUCACCACCAAUGGCAAGCAUAGCUACGCAGAGAUGAUGAUGCCAGCCUGAUGUUUUUUUCAUGAAUUUUUGUAGAUAUCUAAGGAAAAGAAGAUUGAUUGUUGGAAAAGAUUGGAGUUUCCAUUAAUAGUCUUUUUGAUUAAAAGAUGAUAUCUCCUAAUUGGAUCCAAUGUAGGAGCUAAGACCAAAUAAUAUAAUAAAGGUCGAAUAUAUAUUUAGCACAUAGUUUACGAUCGAUGCUUUGCAAGGCUAGAAGACAUGUUAUCUACGAUAUUAUCUGCAUCCUGAACUAUUAGAUUUCAAUUUGAGUGCCAAGGAUUUUCACUACAACACAAGUAAGAGAAAUUAAAAAAAAAAACCUUGAACACAAAGUACUCGACAUCUCAUUGUUUUCUUUGUUCGAUAAUGCUUAACAAAUCUACAGAUGGAAGAAUGAACUGCUA
rnacentral:lncRNA from 1 species